rnacentral:rRNA from 1 species
UACGGAGGGUGCAAGCGUUGCUCGGAAUCAUUGGGCGUAAAGCGUACGCAGGCUGUUCGUUAAGUCGGGUGUGAAAGCCCGGGGCUCAACCCCGGAACGGCGCCCGAAACUGGCGAGCUUGAAUGCGGGAGAGGGAAGCGGAAUUCCUGGUGUAGAGGUGAAAUUCGUAGAUAUCAGGAGGAACACCGGUGGCGAAAGCGGCUUCCUGGCCCGACAUUGACGCUCAUGUACGAAAGCGUGGGGAGCAAACGGG